AAUGUGGUCACCAGGGACUGAGGCGUGGGGGAAAUAGAGAGAGGCUGGUAAAAGGCACAGACUUUCUCCUUUCAGAUGAGAA